UACGUAGGGCGCAAGCGUUGUCCGGAAUUAUUGGGCGUAAAGAGCUCGUAGGCGGUUUGUCGCGUCUGUCGUGAAAUCCCGAUGCUUAACGUCGGGCUUGCGGUGGGUACGGGCAGGCUGGAGUGCGGUAGGGGUGACUGGAAUUCCUGGUGUAGCGGUGGAAUGCGCAGAUAUCAGGAGGAACACCGAUGGCGAAGGCAGGUCACUGGGCCGUUACUGACGCUGAGGAGCGAAAGCAUGGGGAGCGAACAGGAUUAGAUACCCCCGUA
rnacentral:rRNA from 1 species